AUUGAACGCUGGCGGCAGGCCUAACACAUGCAAGUCGAGCGGAUGAAGGGAGCUUGCUCCUGGAUUCAGCGGCGGACGGGUGAGUAAUGCCUAGGAAUCUGCCUGGUAGUGGGGGAUAACGUCCGGAAACGGGCGCUAAUACCGCAUACGUCCUGAGGGAGAAAGUGGGUGAUCUUCGGACCUCACGCUAUCAGAUGAGCCUAGGUCGGAUUAGCUAGUUGGUGGGGUAAAGGCCUACCAAGGCGACGAUCCGUAACUGGUCUGAGAGGAUGAUCAGUCACACUGGAACUGAGACACGGUCCAGACUCCUACGGGAGGCAGCAGUGGGGAAUAUUGGACAAUGGGCGAAAGCCUGAUCCAGCCAUGCCGCGUGUGUGAAGAAGGUCUUCGGAUUGUAAAGCACUUUAAGUUGGGAGGAAGGGCAGUAAGUUAAUCCCUUGCUGUUUUGACGUUACCAACAGAAUAAGCACCGGCUAACCUCGUG
rnacentral:rRNA from 1 species